AUCGUGACUGCUGGGCCAUAUGGUAAGAGUAUGUUUAGUUUUAUGAGAAACUGCCAAACUCUUUUCCAAAGUAGCUGUACCAUUUUGCAUUCCCAUGAGCAAU
rnacentral:pre_miRNA from 1 species